AGCUUGCUUGGGUCCUGAACUAACCUCUCCAAGGCUCUCCACUCACACUGCUGCCCUGCUACACUGACUCCUCAGCCCCCGUAAGGUGCUCAGUGGAGCUGUGACGUCUUACGAAGAUCUUGGACUCUUCGCCUUUGGAUUACCUGGAAAGGUGGUGGUGGCAGGCACCAUAAUAAUUCAGAAUAUUGGAGCUAUGUCAUCUUACCUUUUAAUUAUUAAAACAGAGCUUCCUGCUGCUAUUUCAGAAGUUUUGCCUAGUGACCACAGUGGGGCUUGGUAUCUUGAUGGACAGAUGCUGCUAAUCAUAAUCUGUGUCGGCAUUGUGUUCCCUCUCUCACUGCUCCCCAAAAUAGGCUUUCUUGGCUACACAAGCAGUCUAUCAUUUUUCUUUAUGGUGUUCUUUGCUCUUGUGAGUUACCUUCUUACCCAGUCUGUCUUCAGCGCCAAGCAAGGGCUCCCUGUGACUCUCUUCUGUCUUGUGGUUGGGUCUCUGCCCACUCCUCACCUGUCUGCAGCUCUCUCUACCCCAUCCCACCAUGCAGGU
rnacentral:lncRNA from 1 species